UCUCUUAGUUUCUUACAUUUUUCUCCAGCGAAACUUGAUGAAAUUUCCGAUCAGAGAUCUUCAUUUCUGAUCUCAGAUUUUCCCGUGAAGCUUCAAUCAGAGCGGGAAUGGUUUGAUUUCUUUCUCGAUUGUUUUGAUUUGGUCACUGGGUUUGAGUAUGGUGAUUUCUUCUCUGAAAAAGGUGGAAAAAGCUUGGAACUUGGGGAUUUUGUGGAGGUUUUGGUUUUGGAUGAGCUUGAUUUGGACUGAUCUGCUGAUUUCUUGAUCAAAGAAGUAACAAGUUUUGUGGAAUUUGUGAGUUUUGUUCCUAUGUGCCCUCAUUUGGAGCAGAUUAACAGAGAAAUUUGUGACCAUUUCUGAGCACUCACGUACUUUAAUACACUCGGCAACAAGAAAAUUGAACAUUUUGAUACUUUACAGUGGUGAAUCCACACCUGAAGAAAAAGUUCAAAUAGAUGUUGGUUUCAGACCUUUAUAAAAGUCAAGGUCAUUAUGGAAUGCCUUUCUAAAAUUCAAGAAUACCUUCCGAAAAACUAUGAAAUCCUUCCUGAUUUUUUUAAAAAUGUGUUUUAAAAUCUCUUUAUAUGUGUUUUG